GCUUGCGUAGAGGAUCAAGGCCUGUGAUGGUCGCGCUUCAAGAGGGCCAAGCACAGACGGAUCAGUGCUCCCAGUGUUCCUAGGUUCAGUACCAGGAUACUGCCCAUGGGUGCCUAGGAGGGAGGCGACUUCCACGCCAGUGGCCCUGUGCUAAGAUUUGAGAAUGCGGCCCCGUGGAGAAUGUUGGACCCGGAAUUAAAAGUCCUUCUUGGACCAAUUUGAUCCACAGAAGACGAGGCAAUACCAUGGCCUCUUUGUCUGUUUCCACGUUUUCCUGAGCCCAGCCGCCUUUUCCAGGUCGACACUUGGAUUGCUUCUGAAGUUGAAAUUCAACUAGUAAUUAUAGCGACAGCGGUCCUUGGAACAUCUCAGAAAUGUUACCAAUACUGUUUUGACGGUGCCGUUUGUUGUAUGGAGCAUAAAUCCCAAAACUUGAAGGCUAGCCGUCACAUCUUAACCUAAACUUUUCCCCAGCGCGGAGGGCAACAUCACUAAUCACUGAGAUACAGUGAAGUAAAAACCAAGAUAGAAUAAGUGGUUGCAAGGAAGAUUUCUACCACCGAGUAUUUGAGGGGCAAAGAAAGAGAAAAUGUUGCUGUCUUCACAUUCCCUUCCCUCCUCAUUUGUUUCCUACUGCUCAGAGUUCUUCCUCAGGUAUUUACUGGAAUCUGAGCCCACAAUUCUCUGAAUCCAUGACUAAUGCAAGUCAGGACCAAGUUUAUUGGUGACAUCCAUUUUCCUUCUUAGGGAUCAAAGUCUCUCGAAGUAUACACUGAUUAGAGGUCUUAAAUUAUCUCUAAGCCUAUUUGUAUGUAAUGCAAGGAUAGCUACCUAUGCAGGCAAGUACCUGUUAGCUGCACAAAGAGUGUAAUCUUGUGCAGACUUAGAAUGUAAUUUUUAAAAAUCCUAUAAACUUAUAGCCUAUGCAUCUAUCAGAAAUCUUUACCCCAAAUAUAUACCUACCAGUGCUCUUGUGGGUUUAAAUUACUAUUUAUAAGGAACUUUGUCACUGGGAAGUUCUGUGUCAAGUUUCAGAAAAUUUUGGUCAUGUCUUCAAAUAUUUCAUUGCCCAGAGUUAUUUAAUUUGAUUUUCCAUGAAUGCCUUUUGAUGUAACUUCCUAUGGA